AUACGUAGGGGGCAAGCGUUAUCCGGAUUUACUGGGUGUAAAGGGAGCGUAGACGGCAAAGCAAGUCUGAAGUGAAAGCCCCGGGCUCAACCCGGGAAUUGCUUUGGAAACUGUUUAGCUGGAGUGCAGGAGAGGUAAGCGGAAUUCCUAGUGUAGCGGUGAAAUGCGUAGAUAUUAGGAGGAACACCGGCGGCGAAGGCGGCUUACUGGACUGUAACUGACGUUGAGGCUCGAAAGCGUGGGGAGCAAACAGGAUUAGAUACCCUGGUAGUCCACGCCGUAAACGAUGAUUACUAGGUGUUGGUUGUCAUAGACAAUCGGUGCCGCAGCAAACGCAAUAAGUAAUCCACCUGGGGAGUACGUUCGCAAGAAUGAAACUCAAAUGAAUCGACGGGG
rnacentral:rRNA from 1 species